CUCAAAGAAAACUUCAUGCAAAAUGCUUUAAUACGGAAUUUAGUAGCUUAAAAUGCUGUUGUAGUACGUUUCUAGCUUUUUUAUAUCAAGCUUAGCUCAACUGAUCUUGCUUCUAAAUGCAUCGUAUAGUUCAAGAAUUUAACAUUGACUGAACUACUUUCUUUUCUAAGAAAAUGAAUAUGCAGAAUAAAAGGAUUCAAGUACUAAUGGACAUCGUGGAGCAAAAGAUGAUGUUACCAUGAGACUGCAAGAUUUGAUAUCCUGUUCAGAAGAAACCAUAAAAGACUAUGUAAGUCUUAGACAUCUUAAUUUUGUUUACAAGAAAACCUGAAUCUGUGCUUAUA